rnacentral:rRNA from 1 species
AUUGAACGCUGGCGGCAGGCCUAACACAUGCAAGUCGAGCGAGCGGCGGACGGGCGAGUAAGGUAUGGGGACCUGCCUGAUGGCGGGGGAUAACUACUGGAAACGGUAGCUAAUACCGCAUACCCUCAGUUGGACCCAUAUGGGAUUAGCUAGUUGGUAAGGUAACGGCUCACCAAGGCGACGAUCCCUAGCUGGUCUGAGAGGAUGAUCGGCCACACUGGGACUGAGACACGGCCCAGACUCCUACGGGAGGCAGCAGUGGGGAAUAUUGCACAAUGGGCGAAAGUCUGAUGCAGCCAUGCCGCGUGUAUGAAGAAGGCCUUCGGGUUGUAAAGUACUUUCAGUCGAGAGGCGUUAUCGACAGAAGAAGCACCGGCUAACUCCGUGCCAGCAGCCGCGGUAAUAC